GUCAUCUUUGUUGGAGUAACUCUGAAGAAAAUACAUCUCUGGAGACUUCACCAGAAAAACUGUGUCCCUUCCAAAGAGUUUUACAUAAAACAUGAUGUCUUUAUGAACUCAAAUGAUUUCACAGCACUUCAGUAUAUGGAGGUGAAGGAUAUUGAGCCGACGAGCCGUACAGCACAUUCAUAUUGAGAACCAAUGGGCUUUACUCAACUGCCCAACUGGACAUCCAGUUGGACUCCCUGUGCUGAUGAUGACUAAUACUAUACACACUGGUCACAACUCUUUUUGACCCUUACCAUAGUCUGCUUCCCGACCACUUUCCAGUAAUAUUAUUUCUUUGGCUCUCUUCCAACUUCAUUACUUAUCAAUAUUGGUUUUCUGCUCACACUCCCCCCCCUCCCACACACACUCAAUAAUCUAUAUUUCUGAUAUUCACAGAAUCAUGUUCCACCUAAAUUGUUUAAAGUGACAUUUGUAAUGAACAAAUACAAUGUUAUCUAAUUUAUUAUUAAUAAAAGUGACUUUGCACCCUUCAUCUGAGUUACCAAGAACA